GAUGAACGCUGGCGGCGUGCCUAAUACAUGCAAGUCGAGCGAACAGACGAGGAGCUUGCUCCUCUGACGUUAGCGGCGGACGGGUGAGUAACACGUGGAUAACCUACCUAUAAGACUGGGAUAACUUCGGGAAACCGGAGCUAAUACCGGAUAAUAUAUUGCACCGCAUGGUUCAAUAGUGAAAGACGGUUUUGCUGUCACUUAUAGAUGGAUCCGCGCCGCAUUAGCUAGUUGGUAAGGUAACGGCUUACCAAGGCAACGAUGCGUAGCCGACCUGAGAGGGUGAUCGGCCACACUGGAACGGAGAACCGGUCCAGACUCCUACGGGAGGCAGCAGUAGGGAAUCUUCCACAAUGGGCGAAAGCCUGACGGAGCAACGCCGCGUGAGUGAUGAAGGUCUUCGGAUCGUAAAACUCUGUUAUUAGGGAAGAACAAAUGUGUAAGUAACUAUGCACGUCUUGACGGUACCUAAUCAGAAAGCCACGGCUAACUACGUG
rnacentral:rRNA from 1 species